rnacentral:rRNA from 1 species
CACGUAGGGUGCGAGCGUUGUCCGGAAUUAUUGGGCGUAAAGAGCUCGUAGGCGGUGUGUCGCGUCGGCCGUGAAAACCUGCAGCUUAACUGUGGGCUUGCGGUCGAUACGGGCAUCACUGGAGUUCGGCAGGGGAGACUGGAAUUCCUGGUGUAGCGGUGAAAUGCGCAGAUAUCAGGAGGAACACCGGUGGCGAAGGCGGAUCUCUGGGCCUGUCCGUGACGCUGGAGGCGCGAAAGCCGUAGGGGAGCGAACAGG